GUGCUCGCUUUGACAGCACAUUUACUAAAAUUGGAAUGAUGCAGAGAAGAUUAGUGUGGCCCCUGCACGAGGAUGACACGUAAAUUCGUGAAGCAUUCCAUAUUAAA
rnacentral:snRNA from 1 species